CAGUGUCCCUUUUUGGUGUUUUGUUUCGGCGUGCGUUAGCCGAGCUACAAGUGCUCUGAUUCUCCUCUGGAUAGAGAAGAUACGUAGGCAUAGGACGCGAUGUCCUAGCGAGCAUGUCUCCCUUCCCGGAACUACGUUGACUCUGAUGUUUGUUUCCGACAAACUACGUAGGCCCAGGAUGCAAUAUCCUGCCGAGUCCACUUCCUCCAUCUUCUUUUUUUUUCUUUCACCUGUUUUAUUAUUCCAGUUUGUGCAAUUUCUUUGAGC
rnacentral:lncRNA from 1 species